CAGCAGCCGCGGGAAUACGAAGGGUGCAAGCGUUAAUCGGAAUUACUGGGCGUAAAGCGUGCGUAGGCGGUUUGUUAAGUCUGCUGUGAAAUCCCCGGGCUCAACCUGGGAAUGGCAGUGGAUACUGGCAAGCUAGAGUGUGUCAGAGGAUGGUGGAAUUCCCGGUGUAGCGGUGAAAUGCGUAGAGAUCGGGAGGAACAUCAGUGGCGAAGGCGGCCAUCUGGGACAACACUGACGCUGAGGCACGAAAGCGUGGGGAGCAAACAGGAUUAGAUACCCCAGUAGUCCCUGUCUCUUAUAC
rnacentral:rRNA from 1 species